UACGAAGGGGGCUAGCGUUGUUCGGAAUUACUGGGCGUAAAGGGCGCGUAGGCGGUGUGUCAAGUCAGGCGUGAAAGCCCCGGGCUCAACCUGGGAACAGCGCUUGAGACUGGCACGCUCGAGUUCGGGAGAGGUGAGUGGAACUGCGAGUGUAGAGGUGAAAUUCGUAGAUAUUCGCAAGAACACCAGUGGCGAAGGCGGCUCACUGGCCCGAUACUGACGCUGAGGUGCGAAAGCGUGGGGAGCAAACAGG
rnacentral:rRNA from 1 species